ACAAACUAGUCGUCAACGCACAAAUGGAGCUGGCGAACCGUUACGCACACUUUAUCUGCAUUGUACUAUUCUUAGUAAAUUCAGCACCAGGCCAUCUUAGAUUCAUGAAACAACUGAAUAGCCCAUGCUCUGCCACCACCCAAUGUCCUCCCGGAUUCUGCUGUUUGGGCCGGGACUACGCACCCGGCAUUUGUAAACAUCUAAAAGGAGUUGGAGAAAGUUGCAGUCGCCUAAACAUCUCCGGAGUUUAUCAUUAUGCUUGCCCUUGUGCUAGUGGCGCAAUCUGCAGCCCAAAAUACGUCUGUCAAAACGCGACGCAGUAGGCUUAUACAAAGGAUAUUGCAUGUGCGAAAGCAAAACCGAAUAAAAUGUCCUCCUUUUUCUAA
rnacentral:lncRNA from 1 species